GGGAUGCCUUAGUACGGCGAGUGAAGCGGCAAAAGCUCAAAUUUGAAAUCUGGUACCUUCGGUGCCCGAGUGAAAUUUGUAGAAGGUAACUUUGGGGCUGGUCCUUGUCUUUGUUCCUUGGAACAGGACGUCAUAGAGGGUGAGAAUCCCGUGUGGCGAGGAUCCCAGUUCUUUGUAAAGUGCUUUCGAAGAGUCGAGUUGUUUGGGAAUGCAGCUCUAAGUGGGUGGUAAAUUCCAUCUAAAGCUAAAUAUUGGCGAGAGACCGAUAGCGAACAAGUACAGUGAUGGAAAGAUGAAAAGAACUUUGAAAAGAGAGUGAAAAAGUACGUGAAAUUGUUGAAAGGGAAGGGCAUUUGAUCAGACAUGGUGUUUUGCGCCCUCUGCUCCUUGUGGGUGGGGGAAUCUCGCAGCUCACUGGGCCAGCAUCAGUUUUGGCGGCAGGAUAAAUCUGCAGGAAUGUAGCUUGCCUCGGUAAGUGUUAUAUCCUGUAGAAAUACUGCCAGCUGGGACUGAGGACUGCGACUUUACGUCAAGGAUGCUGGCAUAAUGGUUAUAUGCCGCCCGUCUUGAAACAACGGACC
rnacentral:rRNA from 1 species